rnacentral:rRNA from 1 species
AUUGAACGCUGGCGGCAGGCCUAACACAUGCAAGUCGAGCGAGCGGCGGACGGGUGAGUAAUGUCUGGGAAACUGCCUGAUGGAGGGGGAUAACUACUGGAAACGGUAGCUAAUACCGCAUACCAUCAGAUGUGCCCAUAUGGGAUUAGCUAGUAGGUGGGGUAAUGGCUCACCGAGGCGACGAUCCCUAGCUGGUUUGAGAGGAUGACCGGCCACCCUGGAACUGUGACACGGUCCAGACUCCUACGGGAGGCAGCAGUGGGGAAUAUUGCACAAUGGGCGCAAGCCUGAUGCAGCCAGGCCGCGUGGGUGAAGAAGGCCUUCGGGUUGUAAAGCACUUUCAGCGGGGAGGCGUUACUCGCAGAAGAAGCACCGGCUAACUCCGUGCCAGCAGCCGCGGUAAUAC